rnacentral:rRNA from 1 species
ACCUGGUUGAUCCUGCCAGUAGUCAUAUGCUUGUCUCAAAGAUUAAGCCAUGCAUGUCUAAGUAUAAGCGACUAUACUGUGAAACUGCGAAUGGCUCAUUAAAUCAGUUAUGGUUUAUUUGAUGGUACCUACUACUUGGAUAACCGUAGUAAUUCUAGAGCUAAUACAUGCAGGAAGACCCGACUUCGGAAGGGUUGUAUUUAUUAGAUAAGAAACCAAUCCAGCUUGCUGUUGCGUGCCGAGUCACAAUAACUGCUCGAAUCGCAUGGGUUUACCCCGGCGAUGGUUCAUUCAAAUUUCUGCCCUAUCAGCUUUCGAUGGUAGGAUCGAGGCCUACCAUGGCGUUUACGGGUAACGGAGAAUUAGGGUUCGAUUCCGGAGAGGGAGCCUGAGAGAUGGCUACCACAUCCAAGGAAGGCAGCAGGCGCGUAAAUUGCCCGAAUCCUGACACAGGGAGGUAGUGACAAGAAAUAACAAUACAGGGCUACAUCUAGUCUUGUAAUUGGAAUGAAUACAAUUUACAUCUCUUACUGAGGAUCAAUUGGAGGGCAAGUCUGGUG